AUAGAUAGUUCAGGCACCAAGAGAACUCCAUGGCCUCACAUAGCUCCAGAUUAGCAGCCUCAAGGAAAAUCUCUUCUUUCUCUAAGUAUCGAUAAGAUGUCAGGGAAGAAUUCCAGUUGGCUUGGGUCAUGGACCUACCCUGUGAAUAAUCAUACAAAUCAGAACUUGUCCACAUACUGUUGACUGCAUCCUGCUACACAGCACAUUUGAUGCCAUGAAGGCCCCGCUCAGCCCCCAAUAUUCUCACUUUUCAAUUCCAUCUGCCCACUUAUCAUUGACUCUUGAGGAUUCCAGAGUACACUUGCUACCUUUUUUCCUGCAAGUAAUGAAUCCCAUGUUCAUACUCUCAUUGAAUUGGCAAAAGACGACCUUUGGCAAUAUAAGAAGGAAAUGGAUCAUUCUUUUCUAAUGAGAAACGUGCUUCAUUUUUCAUAACUCCUGAAAGCAUGGUUCCUUUCACGGUUGAGAAAUAGCCAUCAUCUCCCCACAACCACUUUAUCCUCCAAGUUCUCUUUUGUUGAUGCAAUACAGUGGUAAUUGGAUAUCUGGAAGUUUAGCACUCUUCAG
rnacentral:sRNA from 1 species